UACGUAGGGGGCAAGCGUUGUCCGGAAUCAUUGGGCGUAAAGAGCGUGUAGGCGGCCUGGUAAGUCCGCUGUGAAAGUCCAGGGCUCAACCCUGGAAUGCCGGUGGAAACUGUCAGGCUCGAGUCCGGAAGAGGCGAGUGGAAUUCCUGGUGUAGCGGUGAAAUGCGCAGAUAUCAGGAGGAACACCAAUGGCGAAGGCAGCUCGCUGGGACGGUACUGACGCUGAGACGCGAAAGCGUGGGGAGCAAACAGGG
rnacentral:rRNA from 1 species